rnacentral:rRNA from 1 species
CCUACGGGAGGCAGCAGUGGGGAAUAUUGGACAAUGGGGGGAACCCUGAUCCAGCGACGCCGCGUGAGUGAAGAAGUAUUUCGGUAUGUAAAGUCCUAUCAGCAGGGAAGAAAAUGACGGUACCUGACUAAUAAGCACCGGCUAACUACGUGCCAGCAGCCGCGGUAAUACGGAGGGUGCAAGCGUUAUCCGGAUUUACUGGGUGUAAAGGGAGCGUAGGCGGGGUAGCAAGUCUGAUGUGAAAUGUUAGGGCUUAACCAUAGGACUGCAUUGGAAACUGUUAAUCUGGAGUACAGGAGAGGUAAGUGGAAUUCCUGGUGUAGCGGUGAAAUGCGUAGAGAUUAAGAGGAACACUAGUGGCGAAGGCGGCUUACUGGACUGUAACUGACGUUGAUGCGCGAAAGCGUGGGGAGCAAACAGGAUUAGAUACCCCGGUAGUC